rnacentral:rRNA from 1 species
GACAGAGGAGGCAAGCGUUGUCCGGACUUACUGGGCGUAAAGCGUGCGCAGGCGGUUAUGUAAGACAGGUGUGAAAUCCCCGGGCUUAACCUGGGAACUGCAUUUGUGACUGCAUAGCUAGAGUACGGUAGAGGGGGAUGGAAUUCCGCGUGUAGCAGUGAAAUGCGUAGAUAUGCAGAGGAACACCGAUGGCGAAGGACAAUCCCCUGGACCUGUACUGACGCUCAUGCAC